GGUCAAGUUACUAAGGGCCCACGGUGGAUGCCUUGGCGCUAAGGGCCGAAGAAGGACGCGGCAAGACUGCGAAAAGCCUCGUUGAGCUGUCUAGCUAGCUAAGACGGGGAUGUCCGAAUGGGGAAACCCGGUCCCGAUAAAUCGGGAUCACUCCUGGCCCAACCCUUAAGCCAGGAGAGGUAAGCGGGGGAACUGAAACAUCUCAGUACCCCGAGGAAAAGAAAUCAAAAGAGAUUCCCCUAGUAGUGGCGAACGAACGGGGAACAGCCUAAACCGAGGAGGCUUCACGGCCUGGGGGCCCAUGCCUUCUGGGUGUUGCAAGGCCAUCAGCCCAAACCCCAGCGCGGGCGAGGAGUAAGAAACCUUUUCUCUAGCCGAAGGUCCCUGGAACGGGCCGCCGUAGAAGGUGAGAGCCCAGUAGGCGAAAGGGAGGAGGCUCCUGAUGUGUCCUUAAGUACCACGGGACACGUGGAAUCCUGUGGGAAGCUGGGGGGACCACCCUCCAAGGCUCAAUACCCUUAGCGACCGAUAGUGAACUAGUACCGUGAGGGAAAGGUGAAAAGCACCCCGGAAGGGGAGUGAAAGAGACCUGAAACCGUGGGCUUACAAACAGUCGGAGUCCUUCCCGCAAGGGAGGGAUGACGGCGUGCCUAUUGAAGAAUGAUCUGGCGAGUUAUGUAGGCGUAGCAAGGUUAAUCCGUUCAGCGGAGGAGCCGUAGCGAAAGCGAGUCCGAAGAGGGCGAUAGUUGCGUCUAAUAGACCCGAAACCGGGUGAGCUACCCAUGGCCAGAGUGAAGCCCCGAUAGUCUCGGGGUAGAGGCUCGAACCCAUUAUUAGUACAAAAAUAUGGGAUGAGCUGUGGGUAGAGGUGAAAUGCCAAACGAACCCGGAGAUAGCUGGUUCUCCUCGAAAUGCAUUUAGGUGCAGCCUCGGAGGUGACUUGAGGGGGUAGGGCACUGAAUGGGCAAGGGGGCGUGAGCUUACCAACCCCAAUCAAACCACGAAUACUUCAAGCUCGUACUCCGGGAGUGAGACAGCGGGGGAUAAGCUCCGUUGUCAAAAGGGAAACAGCCCAGACCACCGGCUAAGGCCCCCAAGUGCAGGCUUAGUGUGCAAGGAAGUUGGAUCGCUAAAACAGCCAGGAGGUUGGCUUAGAAGCAGCCACCCUUUGAAGAGUGCGUAAUAGCUCACUGGUCGAGGGAUCCUGCGCCGACAACUCAACGGGGCUUAAGCCUGCCGCCGAAGCCGUGGAAUUCCGACUCUGUCGGGAUUGGUAGGGGAGCGUUCUGCAGCCAGCGAAGCUCAGCCGUAAGGUAGCCGCAAGGCGAAUGAGUGGAGGGUGCAGAAGUGCGAAUGCCAGAAUGAGUAGCGUAUAUUCCGGUGAAAACCCGGGACGCCGAAAGUCUAAGGUUUCCUACGCAACGUCUGUCGACGUAGGGUUAGUCGGUCCUAAGCUGCGGCCGCAAGGCGUAAGCGAUGGACAGCAGGUCAAAAUUCCUGCACCGCCGUUAUCUCGCUUAAAGCAAAGGGGGGACACGGGAAGGUAGGUGGGGCGUACCCAUUGGACAUGGUGCGUCAUCCCCUGUAGGCCAUGCCGGAGCAGGCAAAUCCACUCCGGCGCUACGAGCUGAGGGGGGAGGGAACUCUAGGUUCGCCUGGGGAAUUCCACCGAUCCUAUGCCGUCAAGAAAAGCCUCGUUGCUAUGGGGUAAAGGUGACCGUACCGUAAACCGACACCGGUAGACAGGGAUAAAAGUCCUCAGGCGGUCGAGAGAACUCUCGUUAAGGAACUAGGCAAAAGGACCCCGUAACUUCGGGAUAAGGGGUGCCCAGAACGUGAAGCGCCCUUGCGGCGCCAGCGUUAUGGGUCUCAGCACAUUGGCCCAAGCGACUGUUUAACAAAAACACAGGUCUCUGCAAAGGGGAAACCCUAAGUAUAGGGGCUGAUGCCUGCCCAGUACUGGAAGGUUAAGGGGAGAGGUCAUCCGCAAGGAGAAGCUUUGAACCGAAGCCCCAGCGAACGGCGGCCGUAACUCUAACGGUCCUAAGGUAGCGAAGUCCCUUGUCGGGUAAGUUCCGACCCGCACGAAUGGUGUAACGACUUGGGCGCUGUCUCAACGAGAGACUCGGCGAAAUUGCAAGGCCCGUGAAGAUGCGGGCAACCCGCGGCAGGACAAAAAGACCCCAUGGAGCUUUACUGCAUCUUGACAUUGGACUGGAAACACGGAUGUGUAGGAUAGGUGGGAGGCUGUGAAGCCCCGACGCUAGUCGGGGUGGAGCCAACGUUGAAAUACCACUCUUCUGUGUUUCUGGCUCUAACUCCCGUUAGGCGGGAGGACAAUGUCUGGUGGGCAGUUUGACUGGGGCGGUCGCCUCCUAAAAGGUAACGGAGGCGUUCAAAGGUCCCCUCAGGACGGGUGGAAAUCGUCCGUGGAGUGCAUUGGCAUAAGGGGGCUUGACUGUGAGACUUACAAGUCGAGCAGGUGCGAAAGCAGGACAAAGUGAUCCUACGGUCCCGUGUGGAAGGGCCGUGGCCUGGGGCUGGAGCAGGUCCCAAGGGUCCGGCUGUUCGCCGGUUAAAGCGGCACGCGAGCUGGGUUCAGAACGUCGUGAGACAGUUCGGUCUCUAUCCGCCGUGGGCGCAGGAGAUUUGAGGAGGGCUCUCCUUAGUACGAGAGGACCAGGAGGGACAGACCUCUGGUUUGCCGGUUGUUCCGCCAGGAGCAGUGCCGGGUAGCUAGGUCUGGUUGGGAUAAGCGCUGAAAGCAUAUAAGCGCGAAGCCCGCUCCAAGAUGAGAUCUCCCAUCCUUCCCGCAAGGGAAGGGGUAAGGUCACAGGUAGACCACCUGUUUGAUAGGCCGCAUGUGUAAGCCCCGUAAGGGGCUCAGCUAAGCGGUACUAAUAGACCGAGGGCUUGACCCAUAU
rnacentral:rRNA from 1 species